rnacentral:rRNA from 1 species
AUUGAACGCUGGCGGCAUGCCUUACACAUGCAAGUCGAACGGUAACAGGUCUUCGGAUGCUGACGAGUGGCGAACGGGUGAGUAAUACAUCGGAACGUGCCCGAUCGUGGGGGAUAACGGAGCGAAAGCUUUGCUAAUACCGCAUACGAUCUACGGAUGAAAGCAGGGGACCGCAAGGCCUUGCGCGGACGGAGCGGCCGAUGGCAGAUUAGGGAGUUGGUGGGAUAAAAGCUUACCAAGCCGACGAUCCGUAGCUGGUCUGAGAGGACGACCGGCCACACUGGGACUGAGACACGGCCCAGACUCCUACGGGAGGCAGCAGUGGGAAAUUUUGGACAAUGGGCGCAAGCCUGAUCCAGCCAUGCCGCGUGCAGGAUGAAGGCCUUCGGGUUGUAAACUGCUUUUGUACGGAACGAAAAGACUCUUUCUAAUAAAGAGGGUCCAUGACGGUACCGUAAGAAUAAGCACCGGCUAACUACGUGCCAGCCGCCGCCGUAAAAC